GGACGAACGCUGGCGGCGUUGCUUAACACAUGCAAGUCGAACGUAAGCUUGAUUUAUGAUUUCUUCGGAAUGAAUAAUGAUAUGACUGAGUGGCGGACGGGUGAGUAACGCGUGGAUAACCUGCCUCACACAGGGGGACAACAGCCGGAAACGGCUGCUAAUACCGCAUAACACAAGCAAUUCGCAUGAAUAGCUUGUCAAAGAUUUUAUCGGUGUGAGAUGGAUCCGCGUCUGAUUAGCCAGUUGGCGGGGUAACGGCCCACCAAAGCGACGAUCAGUAGCCGACCUGAGAGGGUGACCGGCCACAUUGGGACUGAGACACGGCCCAAACUCCUACGGGAGGCAGCAGUGGGGAAUAUUGCACAAUGGGGGAAACCCUGAUGCAGCGACGCCGCGUGAGCGAAGAAGUAUUUCGGUAUGUAAAGCUCUAUCAGCAGGGAAGAUAGUGACGGUACCUGACUAAGAAGCUCCGGCUAAAUACGUG
rnacentral:rRNA from 1 species